GCGGACGUGGCGAAAUGGUAGACGCAAGGGACUUAAAAUCCCUUGGGGGAAACUCCGUGUGGGUUCGAGUCCCACCGUCCGCACCA
rnacentral:tRNA from 1 species